AUGGGAUUAUCCAGGCUGGGCCUCCCUGGUUUUCUCUCUCCCCCUGGGAGGGGUGGGAUCCGUUUCUUUGGGGUUUGUCGUGUUUGCAGCAGCCCCUGCGUGACAAGUGCUGCUCCCAGCUUUAUUUCCAGAGCUCCUUUUGGGGAACAGGCUGGCCCCAGGGAGCGAGGGGCCUUUGGGGCAUCUCUGGGAACUCGUUUUCAGCCUGGAUUAAUUAAUUUAAGCCAUGCUCAGGAGUGGGGGUGUGGUUUCUAUGUAGGAUUGUUCAUCCCCUCCCCACCCCGAGGGGACACAGAGUGGGAAAUCACAUCUCCCAAAGCAGCAACUCCUUCAAAUCUCUGGGAAUAUCCCAAGGGAUCCAUCCCAGCUCCUCAUCCCUGGGGAAUAUNGGAAUAUCCCAAGGGAUCUGUCCUGGCUCCAGGAGAGGAGCUGCUGGCUCAUCACCACUUUUGUGUCGUCCCAGUGGCCCAUAAACCUUCCCAGGGAGUUUUCCAGGAUCCUCAGAGCAGGGAAUUCCUCAGCUCAGGCCCCACCUGGCAGCUUUUUCACCCCAUUUUUUGGGAUCCGAGUCCUCUUUGUGUGUCAGUGAACAUCAACAUCCUGACACUGCAUCCCACGAAGCCACCCUGUGUCAGAUGUGUCUGUCACACCUUAAAAUCACCCAAAAUCAGGUUGGAUCAGAACCCCAAACACAAACUACACUCGGUAGGGAUGAUUUAUUGGCUGUGAGAACAAUGUCACACCUUAAAAUCACCCAAAAUCAGGUUGGAUCAGAACCCCAAACACAAAUUAUGCUCAGCAGUGAUGAUUUAUUGUCAGUGACAGCCCUGUCACACCUUAAAAUCACCCAAAAUCAGGUUGGAUCUGAACCCCAAACACAAACUACACUCGGCACCGAUGAUUUAUUGGCUGUGAGAACAAUGUGACACCUUAAAGUCACCCAAAAUCAGGUUGGAUCUGAACCCCAAACACAAACCACCCUUGGCACCGAUGAUUUAUUGUCAGUGACAGCCCUGUCACACCUUAAAAUCACCCAAAAUCAGGUUGGAUCUGAACCCAAACACAAACUACACUCGGCACCGAUGAUUUAUUGGCAGUGACAACCCUGUGACACCUUAAAUUCACCCCAAAUCAGGUUGGAUCUGGGAAGAGCUGAACCCAAACACAAACUACACUCGGCAGGGAUGAUUUAUUGGCAGUGACAGCCCUGUCACACCUUAAAUUCACCCAAAAUCAGGUUGGAUCUGAACCCCAAACACAAACCACCCUCGGCACCGAUGAAUUAUUGGCAGUGACAACGCGACUCGUGUGUUUUGGGGGGGUUCCCACAGGCAGGGAACAACACUUAUCUCCACCUCAGCAAACUGAAGGGAUCCAAAUCCCUCAUUUCACGGCUUUGCCCAUCCUCAGCAGCAUCCCCAGAGGUUCCAGGCGUUUCCAUUCCCUCCCGGGGAGGCGCUGGGGGCGCGGGGAGUUGGGAGCAGGGCUGGCCUGUGCCGUGGGAUGCCUGGCGUUCCUGCGAGCAUCCCCGGGCUGGAUUGGCUGCGGGGGCCAAACCUUUCCUUUUUAGGCUCUGCGUGGGCUCCCGCUGCCGCUCCAGCCCUGCCCGGGGUCCCGCAGCCGCGGAGCCCUGGAGCUGACGGCGGUUCUGGGGUCAGGGGUGGCUCUGGGGUUUGGGGAUGUCCCCCUGGAUGGGCCGGGCUGGGAUCCUGCCCCUGGCUCCGUGUGA
ensembl:lncRNA